rnacentral:rRNA from 1 species
UACGUAGGGUGCAAGCGUUGUCCGGAUUUAUUGGGCGUAAAGCGCUCGCAGGUGGUUCGUUGCGUCGUGCGUGAAAGACCCCGGCUCAACUGGGGAGGGUCGUGCGAUACGGGCGGACUGGAGGCCAGUAGGGGGAUGCGGAAUUCCGGGUGUAGUGGUGGAAUGCGUAGAGAUCCGGAGGAACACCAGCGGCGAAGGCGGCAUCCUGGACUGGUCCUGACACUCAGGAACGAAAGCGUGGGGAGCGAUCCGG